ACGAACGCUGGCGGCAUGCCUAACCCCUGCAAGUCGAACGAGACCUUCGGGUCUAGUGGCGCACGGGUGCGUAACGCGUGGGAACCUGCCCUUAGGUUCGGCAUAACUCCCCGAAAGGGGUGCUAAUACCGGAUAAUGUCUUCGGACCAAAGAUUUAUCGCCUUUGGAUGGGCCCGCGUUGGAUUAGCUAGUUGGUAGGGUAAAAGCCUACCAAGGCGACGAUCCAUAGCUGGUCUGAGAGGAUGAUCAGCCACACUGGGACUGAGACACGGCCCAGACUCCUACGGGAGGCAGCAGUGGGGAAUAUUGGACAAUGGGCGAAAGCCUGAUCCAGCAAUGCCGCGUGAGUGAUGAAGGCCUUAGGGUUGUAAAGCUCUUUUACCCGGGAUGAUAAUGACAGUACCGGGAGAAUAAGCUCCGGCUAACUCCGUG
rnacentral:rRNA from 1 species